rnacentral:rRNA from 1 species
UGGGGAAUUUUGGACAAUGGGCGAAAGCCUGAUCCAGCAAUGCCGCGUGUGUGAAGAAGGCCUUCGGGUUGUAAAGCACUUUUGUCCGGAAAGAAAUGGCUCUGGUUAAUACCUGGGGUCGAUGACGGUACCGGAAGAAUAAGGACCGGCUAACUACGUGCCAGCAGCCGCGGUAAUACGUAGGGUCCAAGCGUUAAUCGGAAUUACUGGGCGUAAAGCGUGCGCAGGCGGUUGUGCAAGACCGAUGUGAAAUCCCCGAGCUUAACUUGGGAAUUGCAUUGGUGACUGCACGGCUAGAGUGUGUCAGAGGGGGGUAGAAUUCCACGUGUAGCAGUGAAAUGCGUAGAGAUGUGGAGGAAUACCGAUGGCGAAGGCAGCCCCCUGGGAUAACACUGACGCUCAUGCACGAAAGCGUGGGGAGCAAACAGGAUUAGAUACCCUGGUAGUCCACGCCCUAAACGAUGUCAACUAGUUGUUGGGGGAUUCAUUUCCUUAGUAACGUAGCUAACGCGUGAAGUUGGACCGCCUGGGGAGUACGGUCGC